UACGUAGGGGGCAAGCGUUGUCCGGAUUUAUUGGGCGUAAAGAGCGUGUAGGCGGCUAAACAGGUCAGCUGUGAAAACUCGAGGCUCAACCUCGAGAGGUCGGUGGAAACCGUUUGGCUAGAGUCCGGAAGAGGAGAGUGGAAUUCCCGGUGUAGCGGUGAAAUGCGCAGAUAUCGGGAAGAACACCCGUGGCGAAGGCGGCUCUCUGGGACGGUACUGACGCUGAGACGCGAAAGCGUGGGGAGCGAACAGG
rnacentral:rRNA from 1 species